rnacentral:rRNA from 1 species
GGAUAACUACUGGAAACGGUAGCUAAUACCGCAUAACGUCGCAAGACCAAAGAGGGGGACCUUCGGGACCUCUUGCCAUCGGAUGUGCCCAGAUGGGAUUAGCUAGUAGGUGGGGUAAAGGCUCACCUAGGCGACGAUCCCUAGCUGGUCUGAGAGGAUGACCAGCCACACUGGAACUGAGACACGGUCCAGACUCCUACGGGAGGCAGCAGUGGGGAAUAUUGCACAAUGGGCGCAAGCCUGAUGCAGCCAUGCCGCGUGUAUGAAGAAGGCCUUCGGGUUGUAAAGUACUUUCAGCGGGGAGGAAGGGAGUAAAGUUAAUACCUUUGCUCAUUGACGUUACCCGCAGAAGAAGCACCGGCUAACUCCGUGCCAGCAGCCGCGGUAAUACGGAGGGUGCAAGCGUUAAUCGGAAUUACUGGGCGUAAAGCGCACGCAGGCGGUUUGUUAAGUCAGAUGUGAAAUCCCCGGGCUCAACCUGGGAACUGCAUCUGAUACUGGCAAGCUUGAGUCUCGUAGAGGGGGGUAGAAUUCCAGGUGUAGCGGUGAAAUGCGUAGAGAUCUGGAGGAAUACCGGUG